rnacentral:rRNA from 1 species
AUUGAACGCUGGCGGCAGGCCUAACACAUGCAAGUCGAACGAGUGGCGGACGGGUGAGUAAUGUCUGGGAAACUGCCUGAUGGAGGGGGAUAACUACUGGAAACGGUAGCUAAUACCGCAUACCCUCGGAUGUGCCCAGAUGGGAUUAGCUAGUAGGUGGGGUAAAGGCUCACCUGGGCGACGAUCCCUAGCUGGUCUGAGAGGAUGACCGGCCACGUGGGAAGUGAGACACGGUACAGCCUCCUACGUGAGGCAGCAGUGGGGAAGAUUGCACAAGGGGCGAAAUCCUGAUGCAGCCAUGCCGCGUGUAUGAAGAAGGCCUUCGGGUUGUAAAGUACUUUCAGCAGGGAGGCGUUACCCGCAGAAGAAGCACCGGCUAACUCCGUGCCAGCCGCCGCGGUAAUAC